rnacentral:rRNA from 1 species
AACGCGAAGAACCUUACAGAAUGAAACUCAAAGGAAUUGACUGUGACCUGCACAAGUGGUGGAUCAUGUGGUUUAAUUCGAAGCAACGUGAAGAACCUUACCAAGUCUUGACAUCUCGUUGACCUGCUAUGUAAUGUAACAUCUCUUCGGAGCAACGGAGACAGGUGGUGCAUGGUUGUCGUCAGCUCGUGUCGUGAGAUGUUGGGUUAAGUCCCGCAACGAGCGCAACCCUUGUCCCUAGUAGCCAGCAGUAAGAUGGGCACUCUAGGGAGACUGCCGGGGAUAACUCGGAGGAAGGUGCGGACGACGUCAAAUCAUCAUGCCCCUUAUGACUUGGGCUACACACGUGCUACAAUGGCGUAAACAAAGGGAAGCGAACCUGUGAAGGCAAGCACAUCCCAACAUAACGUCUCAGUUCGGAUUGUAGUCUGGGGUCUUGUACACACGC